rnacentral:rRNA from 1 species
GAUGAACGCUAGCGGCAGGCUUAAUACAUGCAAGUCGAGGGGCAGCAGGAGUAGCAAUACUUGCUGGCGACCGGCGCACGGGUGCGUAACGCGCAUGCAAUCUACCUAUAACAGAGGGAUAGCCCCGAGAAAUCGGGAUUAAUACCACAUAAUAUUUAAUAAUGGCAUCAUUAUUAAAUCAAAGCUGAGGCGGUUAUAGAUGAGCAUGCGUGACAUUAGCUAGUUGGAGAGGUAACGGCUCACCAAGGCGACGAUGUCUAGGGGUUCUGAGAGGAUGAUCCCCCACACUGGUACUGAGACACGGACCAGACUCCUACGGGAGGCAGCAGUAAGGAAUAUUGGUCAAUGGGCGAGAGCCUGAACCAGCCAUGCCGCGUGCAGGAAGACGGCCUUAUGGGUUGUAAACUGCUUUUGUCGGGGAAUAAACCCAUCUACGCGUAGAUAGUUGAAGGUACCCGAAGAAUAAGCAUCGGCUAACUCCGUGCCAGCCGCCGCGGUAACAC